UACAGAGGGUGCGAGCGUUAAUCGGAAUUACUGGGCGUAAAGCGUGCGUAGACGGUAGCGUAAGUCAGAUGUGAAAGCCCCGGGCUCAACCUGGGAAUGGCAUUUGAGACUGCUCUGCUCGGGUGCGGAAGAGGGAAGCGGAAUUUCCGGUGUAGCGGUGAAAUGCGUAGAUAUCGGAAGGAACACCAGUGGCGAAAGCGGCUUCCCUGGUCCGGACACCGACGUUCAGGCACGAAAGCG
rnacentral:rRNA from 1 species